rnacentral:rRNA from 1 species
CAAGGGGGCUAGCGUUGCUCGGAAUCACUGGGCGUAAAGCGCACGUAGGCGGCUUCUUAAGUCAGGGGUGAAAUCCUGGAGCUCAACUCCAGAACUGCCUUUGAUACUGAGAAGCUUGAGUUCGGGAGAGGUGAGUGGAACUGCGAGUGUAGAGGUGAAAUUCGUAGAUAUUCGCAAGAACACCAGUGGCGAAGGCGGCUCACUGGCCCGAUACUGACGCUGAGGUGCGAAAGCGUGGGGAGCAAACAGGAUUAGAUACCCCUGGUAGUCCACGCCGUAAACGAUGAAUGCUAGCCGUUGGCGAGCUUGCUCGUCAGUGGCGCAGCUAACGCUUUAAGCAUUCCGCCUGGGGAGUACGGUCGCAAGAUUA